GAUGAACGCUGGCGGCGUGCCUAAUACAUGCAAGUCGAGCGAACGGACGAGAAGCUUGCUUCUCUGAUGUUAGCGGCGGACGGGUGAGUAACACGUGGAUAACCUACCUAUAAGACUGGGAUAACUUCGGGAAACCGGAGCUAAUACCGGAUAAUAUUUUGAACCGCAUGGUUCAAUAGUGAAAGACGGUCUUUCUGUCACUUAUAGAUGGAUCCGCGCUGCAUUAGCUGGUUGGUAAGGUAACGGCUUACCAAGGCAACGAUGCAUAUCCGACCUGCGAGGGUGGUCGGCCACCCUGGAACUUAGGCACGGACCAGACUCCUGCGGGAGGCAGCAGUAGGGAAUCUUCCGCAAUGGGCGAAAGCCUUACGGUGCAAGGCCGCGUGAGUGAUGAAGGUCUUCGGAUCGUAAAACUCUGUUAUUAGGGAAGAACAUAUGUGUAAGUAACUGUGCACAUCUUGACGGUACCUGGUCAGAAAGCCCCGGCUAACUACGUG
rnacentral:rRNA from 1 species